rnacentral:rRNA from 1 species
CGGGACACGUGGUAUCCUGUCUGAAUAUGGGGGGACCAUCCUCCAAGGCUAAAUACUCCUGACUGACCGAUAGUGAACCAGUACCGUGAGGGAAAGGCGAAAAGAACCCCGGCGAGGGGAGUGAAAAAGAACCUGAAACCGUGUACGUACAAGCAGUGGGAGCACAGAGCAAUCUGUGUGACUGCGUACCUUUUGUAUAAUGGGUCAGCGACUUAUAUUCUGUAGCAAGGUUAACCGAAUAGGGGAGCCGAAGGGAAACCGAGUCUUAACUGGGCGUUAAGUUGCAGGGUAUAGACCCGAAACCCGGUGAUCUAGCCAUGGGCAGGUUGAAGGUUGGGUAACACUAACUGGAGGACCGAACCGACUAAUGUUGAAAAAUUAGCGGAUGACUUGUGGCUGGGGGUGAAAGGCCAAUCAAACCGGGAGAUAGCUGGUUCUCCCCGAAAGCUAUUUAGGUAGCGCCUCGUGAAUUCAUCUCCGGGGGUAGAGCACUGUUUCGGCAAGGGGGUCAUCCCGACUUACCAACCCGAUGCAAACUGCGAAUACCGGAGAAUGUUAUCACGGGAGACACACGGCGGGUGCUAACGUCCGUCGUGAAGAGGGAAACAACCCAGACCGCCAGCUAAGGUCCCAAAGUCAUGGUUAAGUGGGAAACGAUGUGGGAAGGCCCAGACAGCCAGGAUGUUGGCUUAGAAGCAGCCAUCAUUUAAAGAAAGCGUAAUAGCUCACUGGUCGAGUCGGCCUGCGCGGAAGAUGUAACGGGGCUAAACCAUGCACCGAAGCUGCGGCAGCGACGCUUAUGCGUUGUUGGGUAGGGGAGCGUUC